AUUGAACGCUGGCGGCAGGCCUAACACAUGCAAGUCGAACGGUAACAGGAAACAGCUUGCUGUUUCGCUGACGAGUGGCGGACGGGUGAGUAAUGUCUGGGAAACUGCCUGAUGGAGGGGGAUAACUACUGGAAACGGUAGCUAAUACCGCAUAACGUCGCCAGACCAAAGAGGGGGACCUUCGGGCCUCUUGCCAUCGGAUGUGCCCAGAUGGGAUUAGCUAGUAGGUGGGGUAACGGCUCACCUAGGCGACGAUCCCUAGCUGGUCUGAGAGGAUGACCAGCCACACUGGAACUGAGACACGGUCCAGACUCCUACGGGAGGCAGCAGUGGGGAAUAUUGCACAAUGGGCGCAAGCCUGAUGCAGCCAUGCCGCGUGUAUGAAGAAGGCCUUCGGGUUGUAAAGUACUUUCAGCGGGGAGGAAGGGAGUAAAGUUAAUACCUUUACUCAUUGACGUUACCCGCAGAAGAAGCACCGGCUAACUCCGUG
rnacentral:rRNA from 1 species